GAUGAACGCUGGCGGCGUGCCUAAUACAUGCAAGUCGAGCGAACAGACGAGGAGCUUGCUCCUCUGACGUUAGCGGCGGACGGGUGAGUAACACGUGGAUAACCUACCUAUAAGACUGGGAUAACUUCGGGAAACCGGAGCUAAUACCGGAUAAUAUAUUGAACCGCAUGGUUCAAUAGUGAAAGACGGUUUUGCUGUCACUUAUAGAUGGAUCCGCGCCGCAUUAGCUAGUUGGUAAGGUAACGGCUUACCAAGGCAACGAUGCGUAGCCGACCUGAGAGGGUGAUCGGCCACACUGGAACUGAGACACGGUCCAGACUCCUACGGGAGGCAGCAGUAGGGAAUCUUCCGCAAUGGGCGAAAGCCUGACGGAGCAACGCCGCGUGAGUGAUGAAGGUCUUCGGAUCGUAAAACUCUGUUAUUAGGGAAGAACAAAUGUGUAAGUAACUAUGCACGUCUUGACGGUACAUAAUCAGAAAGCCACGGCUAACUACGUG
rnacentral:rRNA from 1 species